CCUACGGGAGGCAGCAGUGGGGAAUAUUGGACAAUGGGGGCAACCCUGAUCCAGCCAUGCCGCGUGUGUGAAGAAGGCCUUCGGGUUGUAAAGCACUUUCAGUGAGGAAGAACGCCUGGUGUAUAAUACCCAGCAGCCAAGACAUACCUCACAGAAGAAGCACCGGCUAACUCCGUGCCAGCAGCCGCGGUAAUACGGAGGGUGCGAGCGUUAAUCGGAAUUACUGGGCGUAAAGCGCGCGUAGGUGGCUUGAUAAGCCGGUUGUGAAAGCCCCGGGCUCAACCUGGGAACGGCAUCCGGAACUGUCAAGCUAGAGUGCAGGAGAGGAAGGUAGAAUUCCCGGUGUAGCGGUGAAAUGCGUAGAGAUCGGGAGGAAUACCAGUGGCGAAGGCGGCCUUCUGGACUGACACUGACACUGAGGUGCGAAAGCGUGGGUAGCAAACAGGAUUAGAUACCCGGGUAGUC
rnacentral:rRNA from 1 species